rnacentral:rRNA from 1 species
AUGGGGUUUAGUGCAUAUCAAAAGAUAUCGGCGGCAAUGCGGGUACUCGCUUAUGGCAUACCCGUGGAUUAUACCAACCAGUAUCUUCGCAUUGGGCAAGAUACAACCACGGAGUCCGUCUGUAGGUUUGCCAAGUUGGUCAUCCGAUUGUAUGGUGAGCAGUAUCUUCGGGCACCAAACGAGGAAGAUACAAAGAGAUUAAUGGAAAUGAAUGAAAAAAGGGGAUGGCCGGGGAUGCUUGGUAGUCUUGAUUGCAUGCAUUGGAGGUGA